rnacentral:rRNA from 1 species
UACGUAGGGUGCAAGCGUUACUCGGAAUUACUGGGCGUAAAGCGUGCGUAGGCGGUUUUUUAAGUCCGUUGUGAAAGCCCUGGGCUCAACCUGGGAAUGGCAGUGGAUACUGGAAAGCUAGAGUGCGGUAGAGGGUAGUGGAAUUCCCGGUGUAGCAGUGAAAUGCGUAGAGAUCGGGAGGAACACCAGUGGCGAAGGCGGCCUUCUGGACCAAUACUGACGCUCAGGCACGAAAGCGUGGGGAGCAAACAGG